CCUCCUAUAGCUCCUCCCACCCACCUCCUUUGGUUCAAACGUGGGAAGCUAUUGUACUUUCACUCUGCCAAAACAAUACACAGUUACAGUCACUCACCCUUCUAGAUAACUUGAAACAGUCUAACCAGGUCUUGUUUCUGGAAGUAGCCUAGCUAGCCAACUUCCUUCAACAAUUAGGUUCAGCCACUGAUGUGGGACCAUGGCAAAGUGGGUUUAACUUUGGAUAGUCUAUCUCUGGGGAUAGAUAGCGACUCAAUAAAUUACACAAUGUUGAUGGGACAAUAUUUUCAUGUUGCACAUCUUUUAGUUGUCUCAUUAAAUGCUUUCAAUAUUUGUAUAUUCAUUUCUACAAUUUUUUGUUGAUUUGAGGUUUUAAAGUCAUUGAAAUUUGGAGCUAUUGACAUUUUAAAAUAUUGUCCUAUGUGCAUUGUGUCAUUUACUGAUGGCCCCUGACUAGCUCCAUAGGGAUAUCAAAUGUCAAACCAAAUUGACCAUGGGCAAUUGAUGAUUACUUGGGUGCUACCAGCUGUGGGCAUUGGGCAGGGUUGAAUUAAACCCAACUCAAGGAAAACUGUUAUGGUACCCUUCAUUCCGUGACAUACAAUUGUUUCCUAAUUAUCUCGCAAAUCUCUGUUUUGAACGAGACUGACUUUAUGACCAAAGUUAUCCUAUUUCCACUUUGUACUCAAUUGACACUAGAAUAAAUGUAUCUGACUAAUAUCAAUGCCACAUAGGCUGUUUUCUACCAGAGAAAUUGUUUAUUGCCUUCAGUUGCUCUUUAAUUGCAUUCCUCCUUCUAUUUGGUCUAAUGAAGGAUCCUUCAGACUUUUCGUUAUAGGAGUAUUUCUUUAGAGAUCCGGGAGAGAACAUAAAUGAGAUUACAGGAGAAAGGAAAAGUUGAUGAGACCCAAGAGGAGGGUUGGAGAGGAGAUGAUAUGUGCGCCGUUGAAGAAACCGAUGGAGGGGAAAUUGAACUGGAGAACAACAAGGGAUCGUUAUCUAGGGUCAUUCCACAGUGCCCUGCUGAAAAAUACCCCAAAGUGGGGGCAUUUUGGGUACACAAGCAUGUGGGAGCAGACACACCUUGCGGUUAUGGAGCACAACAAGAUUGUGGGACAGAAACCAGCAAGGGACACUGAAAAGUGUCAAAUCAAGACUACAACAGAGAAGUGCAGUACCAGCAAAUCUUCUGCAAAAGGACCCUAGACAGUUGGUGGUUAAGAAUCCCUACACCCCUUUUGGCAGAGCCGUAUCCAGCUGGCUGUUCACCGCAGACAGGAUAAGCACAAAGAGUCUCCGCUUCCCCAGCCCACCAUGCUGAACACAAUUGCCAGUGUACCGAAGCCGGAUAAAGGAUUAUGGCUGCGUUUACACAGGCCGCCCAAUUCUGAUCUUUUUUUUCACUAAUUGAUCUUUUAAUCAAUCAGAUCAGUUCUGAAAAAGAUCUGAUGCGAUUAAGACCAGUGGAAUUAGUGGAAAUUAAUAUCAGAAUUGGGCUGCCUGUGUAAAUACAGCCAGUGUGGCUCAACAUAAAACCAUGUAGAACAAGGGUCUCCAACCCUGUUCCCUUCUGUAGGUUUUAGCUCCAACCACAGUUGUACCUAACCUGUUUCAGGUUAUCAACCAGCUAAUUAUUAGAAUCAGGUGUGCUAGAUUAGGGUUGGAGUGAAAACCUACAGGACGGUAGCUCUCCAGGAACAGGGUUGGAGUGAAAA